rnacentral:rRNA from 1 species
AUUGAACGCUGGCGGAAUGCUUUACACAUGCAAGUCGAACGGCAGCACGGGGGCAACCCUGGUGGCGAGUGGCGAACGGGUGAGUAAUACAUCGGAACGUGCCCAGUCGUGGGGGAUAACGUAGCGAAAGCUACGCUAAUACCGCAUACGAUCUACGGAUGAAAGCGGGGGAUCGCAAGACCUCGCGCGAUUGGAGCGGCCGAUGGCAGAUUAGGUAGUUGGUGGGGUAAAGGCUCACCAAGCCUUCGAUCUGUAGCUGGUCUGAGAGGACGACCAGCCACACUGGGACUGAGACACGGCCCAGACUCCUACGGGAGGCAGCAGUGGGGAAUUUCGGACAAUGGGCGAAAGCCUGAUCCAGCCAUUCCGCGUGCAGGAUGAAGGCCCUCGGGUUGUAAACUGCUUUUGUACGGACGAAACGGCCUUUUCUAAUACAGAGGGCUAAUGACGGUACCGUAAGAUAAGCACCGGCUAACUACGUGCCAGCAGCCGCGGUAAAGUCGA